rnacentral:rRNA from 2 species
GUUGGUGGUUAUAGUGAAGGUGAUCACCUCUUCCCAUUCCGAACAGAGAAGUUAAGCCCUUUCACGCCCAUGAUACUGCCUUCACCGGUGGGAAAGUAGGUCGCCGCCACUU